UACGUAGGGUGCAAGCGUUAAUCGGAAUUACUGGGCGUAAAGCGUGCGCAGGCGGUUAUGUAAGACAGUUGUGAAAUCCCCGGGCUCAACCUGGGAACUGCAUCUGUGACUGCAUAGCUAGAGUACGGUAGAGGGGGAUGGAAUUCCGCGUGUAGCAGUGAAAUGCGUAGAUAUGCGGAGGAACACCGAUGGCGAAGGCAAUCCCCUGGACCUGUACUGACGCUCAUGCACGAAAGCGUGGGAGCAAACAGG
rnacentral:rRNA from 1 species